rnacentral:rRNA from 1 species
GAUGAACGCUGGCGGCGUGCCUAAUACAUGCAAGUCGAGCGAACAGAUGAGGAGCUUGCUCCUCUGACGUUAGCGGCGGACGGGUGAGUAACACGUGGAUAACCUACCUAUAAGACUGGGAUAACUUCGGGAAACCGGAGCUAAUACUGGAUAAUAUAUUGAACCGCAUGGUUCAAUAGUGAAAGACGGUUUUGCUGUCACUUAUAGCUGGAUCCGCGCCGCAUUAGCUAGUUGGUAAGGUAACGGCUUACCAAGGCAACGAUGCGUAGCCGACCUGAGAGGAUGAUCAGCCACACUGGAACUGAGACACGGUCCAGACUCCUACGGGAGGCAGCAGUAGGGAAUAUUGCACAAUGGGCGAAAGCCUGACCGAGCAACACCGCGUGAGUGAUGAAGGUCUUCGGGUCGUAAAGCUCUGUUGUUAGGAAAGAACAAAUGUGUAAGAAACUAUGCACGUCUUGACGGUACCUAAUGAAUAAGCCACGGCUAACUUCGUG